CCUACGGGUGGCAGCAGUGAGGAAUAUUGGUCAAUGGGCGCUAGCCUGAACCAGCCAAGUAGCGUGAAGGAUGACUGCUCUAUGGGUUGUAAACUUCUUUUAUAUGGGAAUAAAGUGUAGUAUGUAUACUGCUUUGCAUGUACCUUAUGAAUAAGGAUCGGCUAACUCCGUGCCAGCAGCCGCGGUAAUACGGAGGAUCCGAGCGUUAUCCGGAUUUAUUGGGUUUAAAGGGUGCGUAGGCGGGUUUUUAAGUCAGUUGUGAAAGUUUGCGGCUCAACCGUAAAAUUGCAGUUGAAACUGGCAUGCUUGAGUACGUUAGAGGUAGGCGGAAUGCGUGGUGUAGCGGUGAAAUGCUUAGAUAUCACGAAGAACCCCGAUUGCGAAGGCAGCCUGCUAGGCUGUAACUGACGCUGAUGCUCGAAAGUGUGGGGAUCAAACAGGAUUAGAUACCCUUGUAGUC
rnacentral:rRNA from 1 species